rnacentral:rRNA from 1 species
CAGUAGCCACGGUAACACGUAGGGUGCAAGCGUUAAUCGGAAUUACUGGGCGUAAAGCGUGCGCAGGCGGUUAUAUAAGUCAGAUGUGAAAUCCCCGGGCUCAACCUGGGAACUGCAUUUGAGACUGUAUGGCUAGAGUGUGUCAGAAGGGGGGUAGAAUUCCACGUGUAGCAGUGAAAUGCGUAGAUAUGUGGAGGAACACCAGUGGCGAAGGCGACUCUCUGGUCCGUAACUGACGCUGAGGAGCGAAUGCGUGGGGAGCGAACAGGAUUAGAUACCCCAGUAGUCCCUGUCUCUUAUA